rnacentral:rRNA from 1 species
GCGAAAACUUUACAAUGCUGGCAACAGCGAUGAGGGAACCUCGAGUGCAGGUUACAAAUCUGGCUGUCGAGAUGCCUAAAAAGCAUUUCAUAGCAAGGGCCGGGCAAGACCGGUGCCAGCCGCCGCGGUAACACCGGCGGCUCGAGUGGUAACCGUUAUUAUUGGGUCUAAAGGGUCUGUAGCCGGCCGGAUAAGUCUCUUGAGAAAUCUGGCAGCUUAACUGUCAGGCUUUCAGGAGAUACUGUCUGGCUCGAGGCCGGGAGAGGUGAGAGGUACUUCAGGGGUAGGGGUGAAAUCUUGUAAUCCUUGAAGGACCACCAGUGGCGAAGGCGUCUCACCAGAACGGACCUGACGGCAAGGGACGAAAGCUAGGGGCACGAACC